ensembl:lncRNA
GCAGGAGAGGUAUUUGGGCGGAAGGGGAGUCGAGAUGAGGAAACUGAGGCUUCCCUGGUGGCUCAGACGGUAAAGCGUCUGCCUGCAGUGUGGGAGACCCCGGUUUGACCCCUGGGUUGGGAAGAUCCCCUGGGAGGAAAUGGCAACCCACUCCAGUACUCUUGCCUGGAAAAUUCCGUGGACUAAGGAGCCUGGUCGCAAAGAGUCGGACACGACUGAGUGACUUCACUUCAACUGAGGCUGGAGUGCCUGGUGCCAGAAGAGUAGCAGGCCCAGGAUUAAAGCCCAGAUGGACUGAUCCCUGGGCCCCUGCACUUGAACACCGCAGUGUUGCCAGGUGGGAUAAGCCUGGUCUUGCGUGGAUGUGGAGGAGAAAAGGAUCUGGAAGUCAAAGCGGGCCACGGGCCAAAUACAGAUGUCACUUUAGUGGGAAUGCAUGGGAUUUUUUGGCGUGAGAAAGACCCUAGUUCAAAUCCAAGGGCUUUCACGUCUCCUCUGCAGGACCCUGGGCCAGGAAGUCAUUUAACAUUUCGGUGCCUCAAGUCUCCCCACGGGUGAACACCGAGCUGUUCUGAGAUGGCAAAUGAAAACACCCAGCACAGGACCUGGAAAGCGGCGGCGGCGUCGAGGGUUUUCAGUGAGGGCUAAUUCUGCUAAUUCCACCGCCCCCUGUCUAGCCCACGAGUCUCCGGAAAGAACCCUGAGGGGCCCCUUAGGACCGCCGGCAGCCUGGGGCGCACCCCUCCCCACACACACACACAGGGCCGAUGUGGAUUAGUUUUGAAAGAACGUCCUUACAAGAGACUGUUCUUGCCCAGCCAAGACGUGAGCUCUCUUUAAUCUACACGCCUGAUCACACGGCUGGACUCGGCCAAGCCCUCUUCGCGUCCACACAGCGGGGGCUGACCGGAGCCCCUCAGCCUAGCCCCAGCGCGGGAGGCCCGCGAGAGCGGCGUGCGCAUGCGUCAGGCCCAACCAUCGCCUCAGGUGCUGCCUCACGGCUGCUGGGGGGCGGGGACGGUAAGCGGCUCCCCGAGGGAGGCGGAGCCCAGCCAGAGCUUUCCCACCGCCUUGGGGCAGGUGGGCGAGCACGUGGGGCGGGGGCGCCAAGGUGACUGUGGCUUAGGCAUGGGUUUGUUUUUUUUUUAAUUAUUUACCUUCUCGUUUUAUUUCUUUUCGGCCGCACUGAGUCUUCGUUGUUCUGCGGCCUUUGUCUCGUUACUGCGAGUGGGGCCCGCGCUCUAGUCGCGCUGCAGGGAGGUCCGUGCCUCCCCUUGUUGUGGGGCGGGAUCUCUGUGAUUGCAGCUCGCGGGACUCAGCGGCCCCGGACACGUGGGAGCUCCGGACCAGGAAUCGAACCUCUGUCCCCUGCAUCGGCAGGCUUCCUCGCAACCACUGGACCUGGGCAUGGGACUUAAUCUUUGAGGGCCACAGUUUUCUCCUCAGAAAAGGGGGCUUGAUAACAGAAAUGCAGUUGAAACUCCAUGUAGGUGAUGCCUCAUGGGCAUAUCAUGGCCGCUCAUUGAAUGGUAGCUAUUAGCAGUAGUGGGUCUAUCCUUUCAAAUAAUAUGCAAUAAAUAGGAGGAGUGGCUCUAGCCAUUAAUGAGUUUAAUGCUGUGAUAUCUUGAGCUACUGCAAAUCC